CCACUAAUCAGGAGGUGUAGAAGGAGUCAUAGUACCACUAAUCAGGAGGUCUGGAAGGAGUCACAGUACCACUAAUCAGGAGGUGUAGAAGGAGUCAUAGUUCCACUAAUCAGGAGGUCUGGAAGGAGUCACAGUACCACUAAUCAGGAGGUGUAGAAGGAGUCAUAGUUCCACUAAUCAGGAGGUCUAGAAGGAGUCAUAGUUCCACUAAUCAGGAGGUGUAGAAGGAGUCAUAGUUCCACUAAUCAGGAGGUCUAGAAGGAGUCAUAGUUCCACUAAUCAGGAGGUCUAGAAGGAGUCAUAGUUCCACUAAUCAGGAGGUCUGGAAGGAGUCAUAGUUCCACUAAUCAGGAGGUGUAGAAGGAGU